UACGUAGGGACCAAGCGUUGUUCGGAUUUACUGGGCGUAAAGGGCGCGUAGGCGGCCACCGCAGGUCGACUGUGAAAUCUCCGGGCUUAACUCGGAAAGGUCAGCCGAUACUGCGGGGCUAGAGUGCAGAAGGGGCAACUGGAAUUCUCGGUGUAGCGGUGAAAUGCGUAGAUAUCGAGAGGAACACCUGCGGCGAAGGCGGGUUGCUGGGCUGACACUGACGCUGAGGCGCGAAAGCGAGGGGAGCGAACGGG
rnacentral:rRNA from 1 species